rnacentral:rRNA from 1 species
UACGAAGGGGGCUAGCGUUGUUCGGAAUUACUGGGCGUAAAGGGCGCGUAGGCGGCCUGUUAAGUCGAACGUGAAAUCCCCGGGCUCAACCCGGGAACUGCGUCCGAAACUGGCAGGCUCGAAUUCGGGAGAGGGAUGCGGAAUUCCAGGUGUAGCGGUGAAAUGCGUAGAUAUCUGGAGGAACAUCGGUGGCGAAGGCGGCAUCCUGGACCGAUAUUGACGCUGAGGCGCGAAAGCCAGGGGAGCAAACGGG